ACUAUUACCAAUGUCAUGACGAUCUAACGUCAAUAUUUUGACAUUAAAAAACGUUACACUUUUUUUGUCCUUGUCGUUUCAUGGCUGUGAAUCAAUCUAACAGGUAAUAUUGAUGAGGCAAGAAUUUUAGUCAAUCAAAAUGCAAAUGUUAAUGCAAAAACCUCCAGGGCAUUAAUGACUCCACUCCAUUACGCUGCGGAAAGUGGUAGUUUUGCUGUGGCAGAGCUUCUCAUCGAAUACAACGCUACUGUUGAUGCGAUGAAUAGAAAACGAUUAACGCCACUCCAUUACGCUGCGCAAAGUGGUAGUUUUGCUGUGGCAGAACUUCUCAUCGAACACAACGCUACUAUUGAUGCCAAAGAUUAUAAACAAAUAACGCCACUCCAUUACGCUGCGAAAAGUGGUAAUA